GAUAAACGCUGGCGGCGUGCCUAAUACAUGCAAGUCGAACGCAGUGGCGAACGGGUGAGUAAUACAUAAGCAAUCUGCCCACAAAACUGGGAUAACCUCUGGAAACGGGGACUAAUACCGGAUACUAGUGGAUGAGCUUAUGGCGCAUUAGUUGGUUGGUGAGGUAACGGCCCACCAAGACGAUGAUGCGUAGCCGGCCUGAGAGGGUGAACGGCCACGUUGGGACUGAGACACGGCCCAGAGCCUACGGGAGGCAGCAGUAGGGAAUUUUCGGCAAUGGGGGGAAACCUGACCGGGCAACGCCGCGUGGGGGAUGAAGGCUUUCGGGUUGUAAACCUCUUUCGCUAUCGAACGGGUAGGUGGAGAAGAAGCGCCGGCUAACUACGUGCCAGCAGCCGCGGUAAUAC
rnacentral:rRNA from 1 species